rnacentral:rRNA from 1 species
UUGCCCUAGUAACGGCGAGUGAAGCGGCAACAGCUCAAAUUUGAAAUCUGGCCUCGGCCCGAGUUGUAAUUUGUAGAGGAAGCUUUUGGCACGGCACCUGCUGAGUCCCCUGGAACGGGGCGCCAUAGAGGGUGAGAGCCCCGUAUAGCAGGACGCCUAGCCUCUGUAAAGCUCCUUCGACGAGUCGAGUAGUUUGGGAAUGCUGCUCAAAAUGGGAGGUAAAUUUCUUCUAAAGCUAAAUACCGGCCAGAGACCGAUAGCGCACAAGUAGAGUGAUCGAAAGAUGAAAAGCACUUUGAAAAGAGGGUUAAAUAGCACGUGAAAUUGUUGAAAGGGAAGCGCUUGUGACCAGACUUGCGCCGGGCUGAUCAUCCGAGGUUCUCCUCGGUGCACUCUGCCCGGCUCAGGCCAGCAUCGGUUCUCGCGGGGGGAUAAAGGCCCUGGGAACGUAGCUCCUCCGGGAGUGUUAUAGCCCGGGGUGUAAUGCCCUCGCGGGGACCGAGGACCGCGCUUCGGCAAGGAUGCUGGCGUAAUGGUCAUCAGCGACCCGUCUUGAAACACGGACCAAGGAGUCAAGGUUUUGCGCGAGUGUUUGGGUGUCAAACCCGCACGCGUAAUGAAAGUGAACGUAGGUGAGAGCUUCGGCGCAUCAUCGACCGAUCCUGAUGUAUUCGGAUGGAUUUGAGUAGGAGCGUUAAGCCUUGGACCCGAAAGAUGGUGAACUAUGCUUGGAUAGGGUGAAGCCAGAGGAAACUCUGGUGGAGGCUCGCAGCGGUUCUGACGUGCAAAUCGAUCGUCAAAUCUGAGCAUGGGGGCGAAAGACUAAUCGAACCAUCUAGUAGCUGGUUACCGCCGAAGUUUCCCUCAGGAUAGCAGUGUUGUUCUUCAGUUUUAUGAGGUAAAGCGAAUGAUUAGGGACUCGGGGGCGCUUUUUAGCCUUCAUCCAUUCUCAAACUUUAAAUAUGUAAGAAGCCCUUGUUACUUAGUUGAACGUGGGCAUU